rnacentral:rRNA from 2 species
UGCCUAAUACAUGCAAGUCGAACGAGUUCUCGUUGAUGAUCGGUGCUUGCACCGAGAUUCAACAUGGAACGAGUGGCGGACGGGUGAGUAACACGUGGGUAACCUGCCCUUAAGUGGGGGAUAACAUUUGGAAACAGAUGCUAAUACCGCAUAGAUCCAAGAACCGCAUGGUUCUUGGCUGAAAGAUGGCGUAAGCUAUCGCUUUUGGAUGGACCCGCGGCGUAUUAGCUAGUUGGUGAGGUAAUGGCUCACCAAGGCGAUGAUACGUAGCCGAACUGAGAGGUUGAUCGGCCACAUUGGGACUGAGACACGGCCCAAACUCCUACGGGAGGCAGCAGUAGGGAAUCUUCCACAAUGGACGCAAGUCUGAUGGAGCAACGCCGCGUGAGUGAAGAAGGCUUUCGGGUCGUAAAACUCUGUUGUUGGAGAAGAAUGGUCGGCAGAGUAACUGUUGUCGGCGUGACGGUAUCCAACCAGAAAGCCACGGCUAACUACGUGCCAGCAGCCGCGGUAAUACGUAGGUGGCAAGCGUUAUCCGGAUUUAUUGGGCGUAAAGCGAGCGCAGGCGGUUUUUUAAGUCUGAUGUGAAAGCCCUCGGCUUAACCGAGGAAGCGCAUCGGAAACUGGGAAACUUGAGUGCAGAAGAGGACAGUGGAACUCCAUGUGUAGCGGUGAAAUGCGUAGAUAUAUGGAAGAACACCAGUGGCGAAGGCGGCUGUCUGGUCUGUAACUGACGCUGAGGCUCGAAAGCAUGGGUAGCGAACAGGAUUAGAUACCCUGGUAGUCCAUGCCGUAAACGAUGAAUGCUAGGUGUUGGAGGGUUUCCGCCCUUCAGUGCCGCAGCUAACGCAUUAAGCAUUCCGCCUGGGGAGUACGACCGCAAGGUUGAAACUCAAAGGAAUUGACGGGGGCCCGCACAAGCGGUGGAGCAUGUGGUUUAAUUCGAAGCAACGCGAAGAACCUUACCAGGUCUUGACAUCUUUUGAUCACCUGAGAGAUCAGGUUUCCCCUUCGGGGGCAAAAUGACAGGUGGUGCAUGGUUGUCGUCAGCUCGUGUCGUGAGAUGUUGGGUUAAGUCCCGCAACGAGCGCAACCCUUAUGACUAGUUGCCAGCAUUUAGUUGGGCACUCUAGUAAGACUGCCGGUGACAAACCGGAGGAAGGUGGGGAUGACGUCAAAUCAUCAUGCCCCUUAUGACCUGGGCUACACACGUGCUACAAUGGAUGGUACAACGAGUUGCGAGACCGCGAGGUCAAGCUAAUCUCUUAAAGCCAUUCUCAGUUCGGACUGUAGGCUGCAACUCGCCUACACGAAGUCGGAAUCGCUAGUAAUCGCGGAUCAGCACGCCGCGGUGAAUACGUUCCCGGGCCUUGUACACACCGCCCGUCACACCAUGAGAGUUUGUAACACCCGAAGCCGGUGGCGUAACCCUUUUAGGGAGCGAGCCGUCUAAGGUGGGACAAAUGAUUAGGGUGAAGUCGUAACAAGGUAGCCGU